GAGGAAUAUUGGUCAAUGGAUGCAAAUCUGAACCAGCCAAGUAGCGUGCAGGAUGACGGCCCUAUGGGUUGUAAACUGCUUUUAUGUGAGAAUAAAGUUAGGUAUGUAUACUUAUUUGCAUGUAUCACAUGAAUAAGGACCGGCUAAUUCCGUGCCAGCAGCCGCGGUAAUACGGAAGGUCCAGGCGUUAUCCGGAUUUAUUGGGUUUAAAGGGUGCGUAGGCCGUUUGAUAAGCGUGCUGUGAAAUAUAGUGGCCCAACCUCUAUCGUGCAGCGCGAACUGUCGAACUUGAGUGCGUAGUAGGUAGGCGGAAUUCGUGGUGUAGCGGUGAAAUGCUUAGAUAUCACGAAGAACUCCGAUUGCGAAGGCAGCUUACCGUAACGUUACUGACGCUUAAGCACGAAGGUGCGGGUAUCGAACAGGAUUAGAUACCCUGGUAGUCCGCACAGUAAACGAUGGAUGCUCGCUGUUGGCCUUUAUGGUCAGUGGCUUAGCGAAAGCGUUAAGCAUCCCACCUGGGGAGUACGCCGGCAACGGUG
rnacentral:rRNA from 1 species